rnacentral:rRNA from 1 species
CCUGACCCCAUGCCGAACUCAGCAGUGAAACGCCGUAGCGCCGAUGGUAGUGUGGGGUCUCCCCAUGUGAGAGUAGGGAACUGCCA